GCUUUACCUGGGACAGAACCGCGGCCGCGUAGAGAAAACUAGCUCCGCGGUGAGGUCCCAGAAAGC
rnacentral:pre_miRNA from 1 species